CUUACCAGGGUCGAAGGGCUCUCCCGAUCUGCUUGGAAGGGUUGAAAUGAAGCUGGCAGCAGUCCAUGGUUUCUGGCUCAUCUUUCCCUGGAAGUAUGGCAGGGCAGCAGGGGCUGGGCUGAACCAGCACAACGUGUCCACGCCUGCAAACUUGCAUUUCCCAGCACAAACAAGAGCCCACCUGAGAAGACCUCAGUCAUUCCCAACUGCUGCCACUGAGCUUCCAACUGGAAUAUGAAUGUCAAUUGGGGCAUUCCAGCUAGAGGCUUUAUAAAAGUGAAGCUGCAACAAGAACUGGAGGAAAUGGUUUAGUCUGACCUAAAGCAAUCAAGUUAGCAUCAAUGGAAAAUAAAACAAUGUGGUAUAAAUAUGUCAGUUAUCCGAGAGAACUGCGAUUUGGCAUCCCUCCUCACCAUUUGUGUUGUAACACAACAUUAGAGACGGUAACCUCCAAUAGGUGUACGCUAAGGCACGUUGAUAUCUGAAGCAAUGAAAUCUGUCAAUGAGAACAAACCAUACAUUUUGAUCAAAUGUACCUUCUGUUUAAGAAGCAAAGCCAUAACAUUGAUGUUAAGAAUGUUAACAGAUAAUCGGAGUUUUUUUUUUUUUUUUUUUUUUAAAU